rnacentral:rRNA from 1 species
UACAGAGGGUGCAAGCGUUGUUCGGAAUUAUUGGGCGUAAAGGGCGCGUAGGCGGUGCGGUAAGUCUGCGGUGAAAUCUCCCGGCUCAACUGGGAGUCUGCCGUGGAAACUGCCGUGCUUGAGUGUGGGAGAGGUGAGUGGAAUUCCCGGUGUAGCGGUGAAAUGCGUAGAUAUCAAGUGGAACACCAGUGGCGAAGGCGAGUCUCUGGACAUUUCCUGACGCUGAGGCACGAAAGCCAGGGGAGCAAACGGG